rnacentral:lncRNA from 1 species
GUACCGCCCGCCCCUCCGGGAAUGCAGCUUACGCUCCCUUCGGGGCAGUCUCCGGAUCACUGGUCAGCUCGCGCGGCCAGAUCCACGCUGAGCGGGGCUGGAAUCUUGGCCAAUCCAGAGUUGCCCGAGAGCCCGCCCGUCUCCCCGCCCCCCAGCUCGGGUCUCACUUGAGGUGGGAAGGCCCGAGGGGGUCCACGUGGGCAUUCGGAGCCUCUGGGAGGUGCCCUGGCUUGCAAUCCGAACUCAUCCCAGAGUUCACUUGACGGUCUAUUCUCAGCCCGGAGCAAAAAUUGACUGCGUUGCUCACUGGUAAAAGAACAAUUGGAUGUCAACGGCAUUAAAACACCUCGGUAAUGCCUAACACCGCGGGUAAAUACGUUCAGCAGCAGACUGACUGUCUAGAUUUAUUUAUUCUAUGUAAUUGAUUAUCCAGCCCCUAUCUCAUGGGUUGAGAGAUAUGAAAGACAUUGGAAAAAAAAAAAAGCCGAGAAAACUAACCAUCCAAGUAUGCUAGGAGAUCAGGUUUAUCUACAAUGGAUACAUUAAAAUUUGGAGUAUAAAAGGGAGUAAAUUUGGUGGUGCAUGCUUUUAAUCUUAGCACUAGGUGACAAAAAACCAACCAACCAAACAAACAAACAAACAAACAAACCAAACCCAAAACAAACAAAACAGAAAACAAACAAACCAAAAAACAAUUAAAAAAAGAAAAAUUCUGACCAAAGGUCUGGGGAAGACUGGAGCGUGGGGUCUAGAGAGGUUUAUGGGGCUUUGACAAAGACUUGAGAGUGGCAAGGGCCCUCUUUGUGGAGGGAGCCUUGGGGAAUGCUCACUAGGGAGGAGGUGAUAAAAUUAUUUUGGAGGUAAAAGUGGGCAGUUGUGUAAUAAUACUGUAAAUGUUCUAGGUACCACCAGAUCUUCAUUUUAAAAAUGUUUAAGAUCUGUGAACUCAUCUUGGUUUUCAAUAAUUCACUAGAAAAAUUGAACUUAAAGUUGUAACAAGAGAAGCUGGGUGAAGGGUAUGAGAGUGUUGUAGCUUGUCAGAAAACCCUCACCCACAAAGAGCACAGAGACCACCAUCAUUGCAAAAACUCAUGAGGAUUUUACUUAUCCAGCAUGUUGGGGACUCCCCUCUCAGCUGGCAGGCAGGAGGAGAGACCCAGAACAAAGAAGGAACACACUUUUUAUACCUUUGUAAGGGUUGGAUAUAGGCACCAGGGUAGUUUGGCUUAUUUUAAUUGGUGUAGCCAAUAAUCUUUUUAGACAUUGGUUGGUUUAUGUAGGGUGACUCUUAUUUUGUCUGUCCUUGUGUGUGUUUUAGUGAGGCGGGGCAGGAGGAUUGUUAAUUUUGUUUUUGACCGUUAAAACUAUGUUUCUAUAUUUGUUUAGUCAGCCAGCUUUUUAUCUGGCUCUGUACUUGGCCUGCUAGUACAGUUUGGAAAGUCCUUUUGAAGGGGGAAGGUACAGGGUAGUCUUGAACUUAUUUUUGGAUAUUACAACAGGGAAAAAACUUAUGGAAGACCUCAAAGAUUCUUUCCAGAUGUUGUAUUCCUUACUUUUAAAUCCAAAUCUCCAUUCCCAGAAAAGGUUUCUUCUUAGAAUGUUAAAGUCUAGUUAAGGGAUUGAGCAGAACAAACCAAAGACAUGGAAGAAUUUGGUUUUCGGUUUUGUUUGAACAUGCUAGCUAAGCAAGCGCUAUGUCACUGAGCCCCUUCCAUUCUUGACAGCCUUAUGGCGGAGAUUAGAUGGUAGGGUGAGCCCUUCUUACACAAGCCUUGAAUAACAGGUUUAACUAUGGAUUUGAUCUCAUUGAAAGCAAAGGUAUAUUCUAGGAAGAUCUACUUGGUACUUAGUACAUACAAUUGAAAUUGAGUUCAAAGGACGUCACAGGAUUACAAAUGGGCCUUGAAGGGUAGGUCUAGCACCGUGCUCUUGGGAAUUAAGAAACAAUGUUUCUUCUGGGAAGGAAAAGGCCUAUUAUUAACCAAAGGACCACUGCAGUUCUUGGUGAAUUUUGAUUUAUAAAUUUUACUUAUGACUUGAGAACUGUGUGUACUGGAGAACAUAGAGCUGUGGUUAAUAGCCGGGUGUGGUGGCGCACGCCUUUAAUUCCAGCACUCGGGAGGCAGAGGCAGGUGGAUUUCUGUGUUCGAGGCCAGCCUGGUCUACAAAGUGAGUUCCAGGGCUACACAGAGAAACCCUGCCUCGAAAAAACCAAAAAAAAAAAAAAAAAAAAAAAAAAAGAGCUAGUAGAGGCAAUAGCAAUGUUGCUUGAUGAGAAUACUUGAAAGUACUUAGAACUUAAUAAGUGAGAGCUAGCCGGGCAGUAGUAGCACACACCUUUAAUCCCAGCAUUUGGAAGGCAGAGGCAGGUGAAUUUCUGAAUUCGAGGCCAGCCUGAUCUACAGAGUGAGUUCCAGGACAGCCAGGGCUACAGAGAGAAACCCUGUCUCAAAAAACCAAAACAAACAAACAAACAGAAGUGGGAGCUAGUGAGAUAUGCAAAGUAACCAGGAGAAUCUCAGGAUAUGUUGGCUGUGGUUAAGAACAGUGCCCUUAACUUGUGAUACUCAUUCACCUGCUGGUAAUGCAAGACACAAGACUGUGUGCCUAUGUGUGAGGGUAGGGGGAGAGAGAGGGGGGUCUUGGUGAGUCCUUUGCAAAAGCACAUUGUAUGAGUCAUCAUUUUAAACAAGAAUGUUCUUUAUUUGUAGAAAGCAUUAAAAUCUUCUCAACAGUCUCC